GAAUCACCAGGGCUGAAAACUAAUCUGCUAACAAACAAAUAAACAAAAAACCAAAUCAACUCUGUCUCCAAAAACCUGCACCGUUUUUCAGUGAACUCAUUUUCCUGCUCCAGCUCAGCACUUGGCAGCACAAACACUGCAGCAGCACAAAGGCAGGGAUGGGAAGGAUGCAGACUUGAUUUACCACUCUUACUAAUCUUCCAAGUCAAUGACUCUAAAGAAGCACAACACAUCGACUUUGGGAUGGUGCGCUGCUGUGGAAGGCUUACUCACGUUCAUCACUGGAUAUUCUGCUGACCCAAGUACAAUGGACAGAAAAUGGAAAGAACUCCCAUAAAAUGUUGAGAUUGUCUGAAGAAAUCAAACCUUCUAAGAAGAUGCUCUUCAUGCAGUAUGAUCAAGAAGAAAUUUUCUUUUAUUUUCACUGCUUUAUCUUGAAUUUCCAUUAUCUGAUUAGGCAUGGCUGCAGGCUCUGAAGGCUAUGAAUUCUUUGAUACAUGAAAACUAUGCUAUGUUACAAACGUAUUGGGAAGGGUGAAGGCUGGCCAUUCACAAAGACCCAGGAAAAUGUUACUUUCAGAAAUUGUUUAAAUCUACUAAAGCACAAUUUUUAUAAAAUAUCAUGUUUUUAUACAGGAAAGAUUUAAAAUGCAGAAGUGUUUUUGUCUUAGAAAAUAAGAAGCUAACUAAUUAAAUCAGUUUGGCUCCCCAUGCUUUGGUGUUUGUGCCUAGAUCUCUUCCUUGUGUUUAGAAAAAACUGUCUAUGAAACAGUCAUUUACAAUCCCAGAGGUAUGGAAUUUUUUUUUUUCUUGUUGAGGAAUGUGACAUUCUUUGCAAAGUAGAAACAAAUGGUGCAGAUUCAUCUGCUUAAUAAGGACUGCUUAAUGAAGGGAGUCUGAGAAUGUUGCAAAUGCCCUUGCAUUUUAGAAAUAUAUUUUUAGAGCAAGCUGAGAGGUGCUUGAUGUGUUUUGUUGUGCGACAUUGGUAGUGUGAUGGUAUCAUGAUGUGGUCUAGGUUAAUUCUAAACUUGGAAUUCUUUUGGUUUGUUUUCCGCAUUCAUUUUCUUCCUUCCUCAGCGAAGCUAUUUCCUUCCAAAUGGUGUUUAAAUUGGUAUAGACUAGCCAGAGCACAGUCUGGGCUGGUUAUCAGCAGGCCUCACAACUGGAACGAGUGUCUCUAGAUUUCCUUAUCCACCCCCCAGCAGUUACUGUCAUCAAAGCAACUGAUCCUAGGACACAGAUGAAUAGUUGCUCUUAGAAUAGAAGUCUGCAGCAAGGUCAAUGGUGUUCAAAACAAUCUGACCAACAGCAGGAAAUUCCCUCCAAGAUUGCUAAAUCUUGUUUACAAGAGAUGUCUUUCUGCAGGAUAUACCCGACCCAACACUCUGCUAAGAAUGUCAUGUGACAUAGCACAUUUUCAUGGGGAGUCUCAGAAAGCAGAUAGGAUGAAGUCCUGGCAAAAUUCCCACUUCCUUCAGUGCAACAGGGUUUCACACAAACUUUCAUUAGAGAAAGGGAAAAAAAAAAUCAGUAUUGAAAAUCAGUCCUGUCAGGUGUUGUCAAGGCUGGCAGAUGUACAGGAGCAGAAGUUGGCUUACAGAGCUUCCUUUCAUGAGAAUGGGUUGUAGUUAAACCAUACUGGACAGACAGAUAUAAAAUAAUUCUGAACGAAACUAUCUGGGAAUAAUAUUCCCCAGAGAAGUGUGGGUUAGAGUGAGUGAGGGCUAGAGCAUUGGAACAGCCACAUGCUUUCGUAGGAAGGCCAGCACAAUAGUUAAUCACUUGUUUCUUGUUGGAAAGAAAUUACUUAUUCACAAGUUAUGAGAUCAAGAAACCUGGAGGACAUCCCUGUUAAAAACCUUCUAGAAAUAAUUAUGUUUCAGAAAAUCAUUAUUUGGUCAUGACUAUUUUGCAAAUAAAAACAAAGGCAAAAAUCAACAGAUGAUUUAUCAUUUUUAUAUAUCCACUCUAUACUAUGUACUGGCAAUAAUUUUCAUCUACUAAAAAAAAUUAAUUAUGUUUCAAGAAACAAUAAAUAAAGCCUUUUAUUUUUUAUGCAUUCCGUAUGUACAAUCAUAUUUUAUCUCUCCAAAAUCCAAUCAAUAAUUCUGAAUUCCCACGGCUCAGUUAAGUCACCAACACUUUUCAUGUUCUCAAGAGUCAUUGAAAUGCCUAGCAGAAAGAACUGACGAGUAUGCUCUGUUUAUAACCACCAACAUACACUUUAGCAAGUCAUAAAUGCUUGACACAAUUUACUCAUUGCCUGAACUUUUAAAGGUCUAGCUAUUCACAUCCAUUUAGUGUAGGUGUAAUAGCUCUGGAUGUUAGUGUGACAGUGUGGGUAAGAAGUUAUAUAAUGUCUGAAAGUCUAUUAAACGAAACAUAAUCAAAUUCUUCUCUGCCAUAACCACUGCAUAUUCUCAAUGUUUGGUUUAUGUCCUCAGCAAAAAUCUGUAAGAAUUAUCCUUUAUCUUAAGGGAUAAGCACAAUGAAUCAAAUGGCAAGAGGACCACAGGUGAUGGACUGCUAAACUGACACUUUUUCUCAACUCUCUCAAAACAUACAUGCAAUCACCAAAUUCAUAAAUAAUGGCUUAGGAUUCUCAUUAGAUUUGAUUCUUGUUUUGCAACUAUAUCAGUAACAUAAGAAGAAAGAAAAUCUCCAAAACAGGAGUUACCAAGCUGUGCCAUAAGUACAAACACUGGAACGCAAACUCUUUAGAGUAAUAUUCAAGUUCUACCCCAGACAUCUUGCACAUGCACACAUCUUUUUGCAUAAGUGGCUCUGCAGUAUGGUUUUAGGAAAAAUCAACUUGGUGGCAUUUGAAAAGUCAUACUCUAUCAUGAACAUGUGGCUUUCUUUUUAUUUGGAAUAACAAGAGACAUAAGAUAGUAUUUAUACAUUACAGACUGCAUCUAAUAGAGUAGUUGUGACUUGCCAAAGGUCAGUCUGAUUUCACCCUUUUUGUUUCUAAUUUCUGAUUACAUUGCUCUCCAGCACACACUGCUAAUGUGUCAUGGAGACUAAAUUGCAUAAAAAACGAUGAUAUCAAAAGCCUCAUGACAAGAAUGUCUUCCUGUUUGUUAGCCUAAGGACAAAAUGUCCAUUAGUGCCAUUUUAUAAGUUUAAAUAAAAAUGAUCAUUUUUGAAAAAAAUUGUAGAUUACAGAUUGUAGAUUAUGGAUUUAAUGAAGUAUUCAUUAUAUUUCUGAAAAGAAACAGCUUGGGUGAAACAGAUUGUUAAGUGCAUAGUUUCAACAUAUACAUGACCAACUGACUUCAUCUCAUGCCUUCUGUUUCUGGCCUGAUUCUGCCAACAAAUUUAAUUUCACUCUGAUCAGCGCUUACGUGUAGGGCAUGCUCAAAUUUAUUUGUAGGACAAGUUUUGUGCUUGUAAGGAAUUACUCUAGAUUCUGUAUUCAGAUGCACAUAGUCCAGCCCCUUCUGUACUCAUUAAAAGACAGACAUAAAAUGAGUUGCAGUUAGAGUCACUGCUUGCAAAAUGUAAGCUUUCAUACUUGUAGUUUCAAUUCUUGAAUUGUAUUGUGAAGAAUAAAUACUGUAAGAGUUACAGUUUUCCUUUAGGAAUGUCUUUGAUUGUUAUUUCUGUCUUCUUUCUGGAAGGAAAAUUCAACUUGAUGUAUACACAAUCAUUCUGCUAACCAUAGUCAGCACUAAUCGAAUGAUUGUAACUUCCUUGAAUGUGUGAAACAAUGCAUAUAUGAACAAAAAAGAGCAAAAUAAAGAAAUGAGCAUUCUUCAUGCAUCUAUUUCCCUUGAACAUUUUAAUAAGUGUUUAUGCUGUUUCUAGACUGUUACUAGGUUGUACUAAUGGCAUGCAAUAUGUAACAUUUGCUAUUGGUCAAAAGCCCUUAGCUUGUCUUGUGACUUUGUAACUUAAUUGAAUGACCUGACCUUCAUAAAUAAGAAGGAAUAAGGAUAUCUUUCAAACAAGGAUAGGGUGGAGAACACUUUAGGGAAUGAUAUGGACAAGAGGAAACAAGGAGACCUAUUUAAAGUCACUGCUUGUCCUCUUUAGCUGAAGAAAUAUAUUAGGUUACAAAUAGA